GGCGGUUCGGAGAGGAGGCGAGACAGCGGGGCUAGAGAGGCUGUUCUGGCGGCUGCAGGCGUGGCCGGAAGUGCUGGGUCCCGAGCUGGAGCUCGAAACCUCGCGUGCAGGAUUCAGCAAGAAGGCAGCUAUCUGCAAGUCAAGAAGAAAGCCCUACCUGAAACUGAAGCAGCUGGAACCUUGAUCUUGGACUUCUAGCUUCCAGAACGGUUGUUGCUGAUGGCUUUGAGGGCAGAAUGCAAUUCUUAUAAGAAAAUAAGAAACCCGAGGGUACAGGAAGAAUAUUGAUAAAAAAUCAGAGAUAAGCUUGAAGAACACCUUUCGGCAUCUUGUAAGACAGUUCUAAUGGUGAUGAACUCCUUCAUUCCUGAAAAACAACUUUGCCAGAUCAUGUUAAAAAUUCAGACUUAUUUGGAAUCAUAUAACAGAACUCUACUUGA